ensembl:snRNA U6 U6 spliceosomal RNA
UUGCUUUGGGAGCACAUAUGCUAAAAUUAAAAUGAUACAGAGAAGAUUAGCAUGGCCCCUAAAAAAAUAAAUAAAUAAGCUGGGAGUGGUGGCACACACCUUU